UGAGAAACAGAUCAUCCAGGUCAAUGGAGACAUCAGACUCUGGAUCUUUAGGAAACUGGAUAUAAACUCAUGAAAGAAGCAGUAUGUCCAGUCCAGGGAGGAGACUCAGAAUUUCUCCAAUCAAAUCAUGGCUAUCCAUUCCCCUUUGUCAGGGUAUUGACCUUUCAUCAAUGUAUCCUUUCUCUGAAGACACAGUGCUGACUCCCAAGGACACCAACAAAAUUAUUCUUUACUGUUAUGCCACAAUUCACAACCAACAAUGUAAAAAAAAAAAAGAACAUGCCAACAAUAUCAAUAAAAA